rnacentral:rRNA from 1 species
CAGCAGCCGCGGUAAUACGUAGGGUGCAAGCGUUAAUCGGAAUUACUGGGCGUAAAGCGUGCGCAGGCGGUUAUAUAAGACAGAUGUGAAAUCCCCGGGCUUAACCUGGGAACUGCAUUUGUGACUGUAUAGCUAGAGUACGGCAGAGGGGGAUGGAAUUCCGCGUGUAGCAGUGAAAUGCGUAGAUAUGCGGAGGAACACCGAUGGCGAAGGCAAUCCCCUGGGCCUGUACUGACGCUCAUGCACGAAAGCGUGGGGAGCAAACAGGAUUAGAUACCCCUGUAGUCCCUGUCUCUUAUAU